UUUUUUUUUUUUUUUUUUUUUUUUUUUCUCCUCA
rnacentral:ribozyme from 1 species